GUGAAUUACGUGCCAGCAUCAUCGGUAUUACGGUGGGUUGAAGGUUUAAUGGUAAUUACUGGGCGGAACGCGCACGCAGGCGGUGUGAUAAGUUAGAUGUGAAAGCCCCGGGCUCAACCGGGGAAUUGCAUUUAAAACUGUCCAGCUAGAGUCUUGUAGAGGGGGGUAGAAUUCCAGGUGUAGCAGUGAAAUGCGUAGAGAUGUGGAGGAACACCGAUGGCGAAGGCAGCCCCCUGGGCUAACACUGACACUCAUGCACGAAAGCGUGGGGAGCAAACAGGAUUAGAUACCCGAGUAGUC
rnacentral:rRNA from 1 species